rnacentral:misc_RNA from 1 species
AAGGUAAUUCGGAAAAGGAGGUUAUUCCUCGGGCGUGAAAAGUGUUCACUUGUAGCUAUUACGCGUUAUAUAUUGCGCCUGGCUGUAAUGCUUGGUGAAAGGGUUAAAACCCCGGACAGAACGAAUACAUUUCGCCCCGAUGGAGAAGGGGAACAGGAAGCUAAGACGUUUAUUAUAAAGGGAAAGAGAAACGGAACGACGUAAACUGUGCGCCAUUUACAUACAAUAUAUCCACGAGUAAAACCGCAUUUUCUACUGUAUGUGACAUCUACGUCCUUUGCGACAGUCCAGGAGACGAAAUGUUUCACCCGCGCGAUGAUUUACAUCGCAAACACUCGACGCAUGAAUGUGUUCCUAGCCACGCAAACAAAAAGAAAGGCUUCAUUAAAAAAGCAGUGACAUAUCGACCGAAGAAAUUUCAAUUGAUAUCGUUGAAUCUCGGAUACAAAUGUUUAAUCCUUUUAAAUAUGGCUUUCGCCAAUGGACGACGAAACGAAAAUUUCACUUUGUGUUUAUACUAUAUGAUUAGAAACGAUUCAUAGAAAUAUACCCGUAUUUAAAGGAUUAAAUUACAAUAGCCAGAUAGCAAGUUUCGUGGAUCGAAUCUAUUAACACGCUUGGUCGAUAAAUUAUCGAAUAGGUUAACUGUAUAACUGACCUUGUCAGAAUCAGGAGGUAAUCGACAUUUUAACAAAUUUUCGAGUGUAAGAAUGUAGUAUUUUAUGAAACAGCUUCUCGUCCACGUUUUCUGAAUAAAAAUAGUUGACGAAAAGCGGAAAAGGAAUAUCAUGAAUAUCUAUGGGAGCAUUGAAAUUCUAAGAGGUUAGGAUCUCUUAACGGAAGACUCUCGGACGGAAGUUCUUGUCAAACAUGAAAAAGGCUAAUGCAUAAUGUAGAAAAAGAGGAAGGAAAGGAAG